rnacentral:misc_RNA from 1 species
GAAAUGCGAUAAGUAAUGUGAAUUGCAGAAUUCAGUGAAUCAUCGAAUCUUUGAACGCACCUUGCGCUCCUUGGUAUUCCUUGGAGCAUGCCUGUUUGAGUAUCAUGAAAUCUUCAAAGUAAAUCUUUUGUUAACUCAAUUGGUUUCUACUUUGGUAUUGGAGGUCUUUGCAGCUUCACACCUGCUCCUCUUUGUUCAUUAGCUGGAUCUAAGUGUUAUGCUUGGUUCCACUCGGCGUGAUAAGUUAUCUAUCGCUGAGGACACUGUAAAAGGUGGCCAAGGUAAAUGCAGAUGAACCGCUUCUAAUAGUCCAUUGACUUGGACAAUACUUUUAUGAUCUGAUCUCAAAUCAGGUAGGACUACCCGCUGAACUUAAGC